GUCUGGUUGGAUUUGCAAUUCUCCACCAGGCAUAUUCUUCCCAGCAGACUAGUUUGCACCCACACAUUUCUCUGCUUGUGGAAGCAGCAUCCAAUGAAGAAGCUGAAAAAUUUGAAAGAGGUUUUAUUCUUCAGUUGUUAGGCUCCACCAGCUCUACAAAUACAUCAGAGUUCCUGAAAUUGUCUGCUGCGGACUACAUAAAAAACUUUGAUCCUUCAUUGCACACUUUUCCUCCUAGAGAGCAGCUGCAGCACCAGUAUUGUAGUGAAGCUGGCCCAGUCAUUUGAACCUACUAAAGUUUCAACUGUUGAGGAUUUGAUUGCUAAAGGUUUGAAGGGGCCUCUUGAACCUGCUGAAGAAGAGCAAAUCUUAUUGGGGUUGACAGCAAAAGAGCUAAAAGACAAGCUGCCAAAAGGAGAUCUGCCAGAACUGGCGAAGAAUAAUCCUGACCUUGCUCUUCAAGUUCUCAUUAAGUUUCAAGAUUUAGAUGAAAUUUCAGACUAUUAUGAUGUUCUUUAUGGUAUGGAUGUGAACUCUAAUUUGAUAGAAAUGAUUAACAAGCUUCCUAAAGAUGUUAAACCUACUCAACUUGGAUUAUUAAAGCUGUGGAUAGAACGUGGUUCAACUUUCUGGAAAGGCAUCAAGGAUGGUGAUCCGAAACAGCAUUUGACCUUCUCUUUCAGCUUGCAGAAUUCCCUGGCAUGGGAGAGUAUGGUCUAAAUUCAGCCGUACUGUUAUCUAUGCUAAUGUGACAAAAUUGUCUAAAUGUAGGGAAUUGACCAGGCUUGUUAAUUCAGAUUUGAUUGAUAAGCGUUUGAAAGGUUUUAAACCCCCACCUGAAUUCAUUCGGAAUUUCAUAAAAAGCUGUUUGCCAUCCACAGCUGAACCCACGGAUACGUCUCAUCAAGCAAGAUUGGUACUGUACUUCUUGAAUAAGCUGAUCGACAAAGACAUUAUCAAGGGUUCUGUUUAUCCAAGUCCAAGAUAAGGAUAGCGUUGAAAACCUGUGAAUCAGUGGUCCAUUUAUGGAGAAAUUCAUCUUUUUUUCCUUCCCCUUCCCCUUCCCUUCCCUAUAAAUAUAUUAUUUACUUCUUACCUUUCUAUCUAUAUAUUUUUCUGAAUUGGUGUCGGAGGUAAGCGUUUCAAUAUUUUCAAACGAAGAAAAGAAGAUAAUGAGGUUCUAUCACGACGUGCUUGGGAGAAAGUAAUUAAAUGCAUUGGUUGUGUGCAUAUAGGCGGUCUUCAUUUUGUUUUUUUGCUCCCCUUAGUUUAUUGCAAAGGUGCUUAACUUUUCAUUAUUAAUUUA